UGUGUCCUGGAUCUUUUGUAGCCUAGGCUAUACAACUCCGAAGACCAUCAGCGGCACAGUAGGGCCCAACAGCAAGGAGGGUAGCCUACUGGCACUGCCAUCCUUCAUGAGGAACUUUCGCCACCUGACAAGUGAUGUCAUAGUCAGUGAUGCUGCUGAGAAUGAGAUACUGGACAUGGGAGCCUCAGAACUCAGGUCGGAGUCAGGCAGUGCGGGGUGUGGGGAG